rnacentral:tRNA from 1 species
GGGGAUAUAGCUCAGUAUGGUAGAGCGCUGGCCUUGCAAGCCGGGUCAUUAGCAGGAGUUCGAGUCUCCUUAUCUCCA